CACAAAGCCCUCGGGUUCGGCUCCUGGAGCGGGGUCUGCCCGUGGGUCUGCGAUCCUGUGGAGGGGGACCGAGAGAUUUCAAGUGCUAAAUAAGGGAGGUGAGUGUAAAGGACUCAAAGAAUGCGGUGCUGCAGAGGUCACGGUUGAGAGCCGGGCUCUGGGGUUUAGGUUCCCACCGGUCCAAUCUCUGUGCGACCUUGACCAAGCGCCGGGACCCCUCAGAGCCUUCGUUUCUCCCUUGUUAAUUUAGUGCACGGAAACUGAACUGAAUGAGAGAGAAGGAAAAUACACGUUGAAAUCAAAGAUGGAAUGCCCAUAUUUUUAAAAAUACCCUAGUAAUGCACUGAUGGUACAGCACUAAAAGACACGCUAUUUUUUUGCUGGAGGAAGCUUACCUCCUAAUUGAAUACUCAUUGGAUACUGAGACAAGAAAACAUACCAGUUCAAUAGUGUUGGGUAAGUUCAA